rnacentral:rRNA from 1 species
AUUGAACGCUGGCGGCAUGCUUUACGCAUGCAAGUCGAACGGUAACAGGGUGCUUGCACCGCUGACGAGUGGCGAACGGGUGAGUAAUGCGUCGGAACGUGCCGAGUAGUGGGGGAUAACGCAGCGAAAGUUGUGCUAAUACCGCAUACGUACUGAGGUAGAAAGUGGGGGACCUUCGGGCCUCACGCUAUUCGAGCGGCCGACGUCUGAUUAGCUAGUGGGUGAGGUAAAGGCUCAACUAGGCGACGAUCAGUAGCGGGUCUGAGAGGAUGAUCCACCACACUGGGACUGAGACACGGCCCAGACUACGACGGGGGUCAGCAGUGGGGAAUUUUGGACAAUGGGCGAAAGCCUGAUCCAGCCAUGCCGCGUGUCUGAAGAAGGCCUUCGGGUUGUAAAGGACUUUUGUCAGGGAGGAAAUCCCUAGUGCUAAUAACACUGGGGGAUGACAGUACCUGAAGAAUAAGCACCGGCUAACUACGUGCCAGCAGCCGCCGUAAGAC